rnacentral:rRNA from 1 species
CGCAGCUAACGCAUUAAGCAUCCCGCCUGGGGAGUACGGUCGCAAGAUUAANACUCAAAGGAAUNGACGGNGGCCCGCACAAGCGGUGGAGCAUGUGGUUCAAUUCGANGCAACGUGCAGAACCUUACCAACCUUUGACAUGUCCCGUAUGAGCGCCAGAGAUGGAGCUCUUCAGUUCGGCUGGCGGGAACACAGGUGCUGCAUGGCUGUCGUCAGCUCGUGUCGUGAGAUGUUGGGUUAAGUCCCGAAACGAGCGCA